AGAGUCAAGUAGGCGGUCGCACUUCUGUCUUUCAGAGGUGAGGAAAGUCCGGGCUCCACAGAGCGGGAUGCUGGAUAACGUCCAGGAGUGGUGACACUACGGAGAGUGCAACAGAAAGUAGACUACAGCGCUGUAAGUGCUGUACAGGUGAAACGGUGCGGUAAAAGCGCACCAGUCUUGGUGGUGACACCAAGAGCUUGUAAACCCCAUCUGGAGCAAGACCAAGUAGGUGAAUUGGGUGCGCUCGCCCUGUUCGCGGGUAAGGUCGCAAGAGGUUAGUGGUAACACUAAUCCUAGAUGAAUGAUCGCUGACAUUGUUCUAGACAGUGUACAGAACCCGGCUUAUUCUUUGCUCCGUUU
rfam:Bacterium TMED15 isolate TMED15 150646, whole genome shotgun sequence.